rnacentral:rRNA from 1 species
AAACCUGAGGAACCUGAAAGAUCGAACGGGGAGAUUCAUCGUCAGCGACGCUGGCUUCGCGGUGGUGAGCGAUGCCUUUAAACCUUUGGUUUUUGCGGUACGCCAUCGCCUGUGUUACGUCCGGUGUCGUCGUCGUGCACUUCUCCCCUAGUAGAACGUCGCGACCCGUUGGGUGCCGGUCUAAGACACGGAAGGGCAGACUGUCGCGUCGCUGUAAAAGGCGUUACGGGAUCAGACCUACCGAACGUUCGGCCGGCUGCUCGGCGGUACUCGCACGGUAUUUGGCCGCAUUCAAAGUGUGCGUCGGGCCCGCCGCAAGCGUGGUUCAGCGUAUCCGGAGGUUACGGACCCAGUGCCGUCCCCGGGCCUGUCCAGCUAUUGCCAGGCGGUGUCCUCUGACGGGCCAGAAUAAAGUAAAAUACCGGUCAGCGGCGCUACUGCUUUGGGUACCCUCAGGACCCGUCUUGAAACACGGACCAAGGAGUCUAACAUGUGCGCGAGUCAUUGGGACUUGCAAGCCUAAAGGCGAAAUGAAAGUGAAGGUCGACCCUAGCGUCGAUCGAGGGAGGAUGGGCCGCGUUACGGCGCGGCCUCGCACUCCCGGGGCGUCUCGUUCUCAUUGCGAGAAGAGGCGCACCCAGAGCGUACACGUUGGGACCCGAAAGAUGGUGAACUAUGCCUGGUCAGGACGAAGUCAGGGGAAACCCUGAUGGAGGUCCGUAGCGAUUCUGACGUGCAAAUCGAUCGUCGGAACUGGGUAUAGGGGCGAAAGACUAAUCGAACCAUCUAGUAGCUGGUUCCCUCCGAAGUUUCCCUCAGGAUAGCUGGCACUCGGCCGUUCUCACGAACGCGCACGAGUCUCAUCUGGUAAAGCGAAUGAUUAGAGGCCUUGGGGCCGAAACGACCUCAACCUAUUCUCAAACUUUAAAUGGGUGAGAUCUCUGGCUUGCUUGAACGUGAAGCCACGAGAUUUCGGAUCAGAGAGCCAAGUGGGCCAAUUUU